ensembl:lncRNA
GAUCAUCCUGCAGACACGUGCUGGAAUCAUUUGAGAAGAGAUACUCUCAAUUGAGAAAAUGCUUCUAUAAGAUUGGCCUCUAGGCCCCACUUUAGGCCAAACCCAUUUUAUGAAAAUUUGAAGAUAAAGGAGAAGGAGGUCAUGUCAUUACUACACAACUUACAGUUGGAGAACACUGAGAUCCCUCCAAGUUUCCAGGAGCUCAAGAAGGAAAUUAACUUCUAUUGGUCUCAGAAGCUGCAAGAGAGCUGGAAUUGGACACAUUCCAGGAAGACAGCAUCUUGAAGAAUGAGUUGCUUUCUCAGGAGUGCCCGCUGACCAACAGCCACAGCAUUUUUUGGAU